UUAUUGUGCAGGUUCAGUGGUGUUGUGACUGGAGUAGGUGAUUUGGAUCCAUAUAGAUGGCCCAGUUCAAAGUGGAGAUGCUUGAUGGUUAUGUGGGAUGAUGAUUUUAUGAGUAAUCAU